GGCUGGGAUCAGGACAUAAGUCUGGAAAUCUCCAUGCUUUGCGACCGAGGCGCGCGAAUGUUGGAUCAGAGGAGAUCGCCCAGAAGCAUGUCGCAACUGCCGCUGCUACGCACGCCACCGCCACCUGCACGCAAGGGCGUAGCGACGCGGACGUGCGGACGUGUGUGGAGCUUUCCAUGGGGUCGUCCAUCUAGCGUGGGGACGUCGAAUCUACUUUGUUUGUCAUAAGCGCCAUGUCCGUCAAUCGAAGUAUUGUUGUGCUGUAGAACAAGCUGAUGAUGGACAACCUGCAAGACCCUCUGUCUCCUAGAUGAAUCAAUGAGGUUAUAUCAAGAACGUAGAGGUAACACAGUCGACAGUGACACCCGAUGGAUGGCUCAAGACAAGGCCGGUGAUCUAUGCUACAUAGACGAUCGAGGAUGGAUAUAUGUGGAUCGUCUGAAAGAGUUGAUCAAAUACAAAGGCUAUGAGAGCCCCCAGCAAAGUUGGAAGCUCUUCUGCUGGCACAUCCAGAUGCUACUGAUGUCAUUGUUAUCCCGCUGCUUCUAUUUGUUUGAUUACGUCAGGUUUUAUAUUCAGUCCCCAUUUUGGAGGUUUCCUGGUAGGGAUGUCGGCCGUGUCCCAAUGGCCUAUGUCAUGAGG